CAGUUCAGGGUGGAGGAGGAGCUUUGACAUGCUCCAGAAGCUAUGGAGCCCUGACUCAACACGCCCACCCUCGAGGAGCAAGCCUGGAAGGCUGCAGAGGUGGCCACUGGCCUGGCUGACUCAGCCUUCUUUGUAACAGCAGAACAUCCCGUGAAAGGGAACUGUUAAGUACGUGACCCUAUCUCCAUGUGACAAAUCCACACAGCCUUGAAAGGGCGGCAUUCCCUGACCUAUCCAGGUGGGGUGGGGGGUGAGGGCUGCAGAUCUCUAUAUCAUUAUGUAAAACAAUCUCAAAGACAGAGUUAAAUUAAACAGCAGGUGCUGAGAGCGUGCUGGA
ensembl:lncRNA novel transcript